AGUACUACGCCGGAUGAACGGAAAUCAUUGAUGUUGAUUAAUAUGGGAUUUUUAAUAUCUCUGGUACUA
rnacentral:tRNA from 1 species